rnacentral:rRNA from 1 species
GAUACCAGAAGUAGGUAGGGUAACCGCAAGGAGUCCGCUUACCACGGUAUGCUUCAUGACUGGGGUGAAGUCGUAACAAGGUAGCCGUAGGGGAACCUGCGGCUGGAUCACCUCCUUU